UAGAAAAUUUUGACAGUUACAUGACUGUAUAAGAAUGUUCCAAUUCAAUGUUUUAGAAAUGUAUAAUUUUUGCAUGAAGGAUGUAUGAGGUUUUUUUCUACAUAAAUUGGAGUAAUUGGCAGGUACCACUCUGUCUUAUUUAGUGCGGGUAGUUUCUCACGAAAGGUAGAUUUGAUUGAAAGAUGGCAGUGAACAAAUUUUUUUUCUCUAUUUCCAUAGAAAUUCCUACCAGUUUUUAACUGAUUAACCUGUUUUUGAUAGUUAAUCAGUUACUUGAACUUUCACAGAGUUAACUAAUGCCUGCUUUAAUGCCUUAAAUCAUAAUAAAAAUUUGUUUCCAUGUGGUCCAUCUUGACACAGACCAAAUCAUCACACUGAGAUUUAUCAUAACAUAAUGAAGCCUAAAACUUGUUUGUCCCUUACAAGAUAUGUAAGUUGCAUGACACAUUCAUACUAUUUGUUUUUUUAAAACUGGGAUACACUGUUAACUAAAUGCUACUGAAUUCUCUGGUCAGAUAGUUUGGUGUUAGUAAGAAGUAAUUACCUGGCCGGGCACGGUGGCUCACGCCUGUAAUCCCAGCACUUUCGGAGGCCAAGGCAGGCGAAUCACUAGGUCAAGAGAUUGAGACCAUCCAGGCCAACAUGGUGAAACCCAGUCUCUACUAAAAACACAACAAUUAGCCUGGCAUGGUGGCGCGUGCCUGUAGUCCCAGCUACGUGGGAGGCUGAGGCAGGAGAAUCGUUUGAACCCAGGAGGCGGAGGUUGCAGUGAACCAAGAUCACGCCACUGCACUCCAGCCUGGUGAGAGAGUGAGACUCCAUCUCAAAAAAAAAAAAAUAAAAAUAAAAAUAAAAGUAAUUACCUCUGUAUACUCAACAACGCUGUCUAUUUUGUCCAGAUUACAAAGGUCUGCUCUCCCAUUGGAGGGCAUUCUCUGCCAUAGUGCAAAGGCCCAAGUACUAGCCUAUUUCAUAUGCCACGUUCUCAAACACGGCUUUCCACAAGAACUUCCUCUAAGCAACUGUUCCAAUAUGACAAGUCCUGCAUAAAGCAUUGGUAAAAAGUAUUUUGUUACUCUAUACAAAUUAUUCUCACUUAGUCUAGUUAAGUGAAAACUUAAUCUUUACCUUUAUUUUUCCAACUUAAAGGAAUAUCAGAAUAUUUUGUCUUCAAGCAAGCUUUAAAUUAUUAAUUUAAUAACUCUAAUCUUCUUGAAUCUAUUCCAAGUUAAUACAGUAUUGGUUAUGCAUAAUUCUGCUAACCGAUCAACAAAUAUUGAUGAAAGAUAGAUGAAAAAGUAUUUUAUGUUUUUUUCUAAUUAAAAUCAAUGGAGAAUUAUACUUAUCAGUAAGAGAAUAAUAAGUCCUAAAACUUUUUUGUCCCUUAAAAGAUAUAUAGGUUGCAUGACACAUUGAUACUAUUUGUUUAAAAACAAAUGGUAUACACUGUUAAUUAAAUGCUAGCAGAAUCAUUUUUCAAAAAUAAACAUAUACUUUGACCCCAUGCUGGAAAAACCUAUACUUGUAGACUUAUUUAAAAUAUAAGGCUAAACUUUGAAGGCAAUAAAUCAGAAAAUCUUUAAAUAUAAAUAUUAGAUACACCUUUAUGAUUUCUGCAGUUUUGGUGUUGGGAGGGGCAGAUAAUCAGCUAUUUGAGCCUUCACAGGGUUACUUAAUGCCUGCUUUAAUAACUCAAAUCAUAAUGAAAAUUUAUGUUUCCAUGUGGUCCAUUUUGACACAGACCAAAUCAUCACACUGAGAUAUAUCAUGGCAUGAAUGUUUUGAGAAUAAAUUUUUAAAAAUACCUAAUUUGUAUUGAGCUAAAUUUCAUUUGUAAUGUUGCUUUCAUAAUUUAUUUGGCAUUUAUUUUCUGACGAUAUUUAUUGAGUAGGAAUACCAUUGUGAGUAGUUGAGAUGUAGCCAGCAUCUUUCCCUUUAUUCUUCUCAAUAACCUUGCUUCCUCUUGUGAACUAAUAUCUUACACACACACACACACAAAACAGGCUUUGCCUUUUUACAUGGGUGAAGCAUGAAACCUGACUUACAUCCAUCAGCCCAGUAUACUCCUUUAUCAAAUGACUUUACUAAAGGUAACUCCCAUUGUCUUGGGAAUUUUAGAAAUUAGUUUUUUUCUCUUUCUCUCCAUCACAGGGUUAAAGAAACAAAGCCUAGAAUAGCUUUCAUUAUUUGCUGCCAUGAAGAACAUAAAGCUAAGGGGUUAGAGCCAAGAAAAAUCCUAGGGAAACUGAUCUAAAUCCUAAUCACAUCUAUUGCUAAGCCAAAUUUAACUCUUGGCAUUGUUAAUCAUGUAACAUAAUAAUUUUUCUGUAAUUUAUUUUUCCAGUUUGAGUCAGAUCUGCACUUAUUUGUAAAGAAGUAUACAAUAUAUAGGGCAUUUCUUACCAGGAGUGGGGUUACAGGUAAUGGGCUAGAAUGGUUUUAAAAAAAGAACUCUCUGUCAUACGAGAAGGUAAAAAUCUUUGUUUUUCAGUUGCAUAAAGUUGGUUUACUUUGGACCUUACAACAUGUGCUACCAAUAUUACAGUAUUCAGUAACUGAAAACAAAAAUAGGUUUUGCAUAUAUGGAGGAAUUGUGAAUUGAAGUUUCCCAAGACUUCACGUAGGAUUUGGAAACUUUCAAGACUGGAACAGCCAGAAAGUAGAAUCCUCAUUGAACACUUGCAACAUUCAGACAAGAUCCAAGGAAAGCUACACUGUUUUAAAUGCAUGGAGUCAUGGGAGAAGUCCAUGUGAAGAAGAAGCAGAGAUUGGAAUGAUGUAUUUACAAGCCAAGGAAUGACAAUUGCCAGCAGCCACCAGAAGCAAGAGGCAAGGAAGUGUUCUUCCCUAGAGCUUUGGGAAAGAGCAUGCCCAGUCGACACCUCGAUUUGGACUUUAGCCUCAAGAGUAUGAGAACAGAUUUAUAUUGU